GACGUAGGGUGCGAGCGUUGUCCGGAAUUAUUGGGCGUAAAGGGCUCGUAGGCGGUUUGUCGCGUCGGGAGUGAAAACAUCCAGCUUAACUGGGUGCUUGCUUUCGAUACGGGCAGACUUGAGGUAUGCAGGGGAGAAUGGAAUUCCUGGUGUAGCGGUGAAAUGCGCAGAUAUCAGGAGGAACACCGGUGGCGAAGGCGGUUCUCUGGGCCUUACCUGACGCUGAGGAGCGAAAGCGUGGGUAGCGAACAGG
rnacentral:rRNA from 1 species